UGGGGUCUCUGCGGGCCUCAGCCCCCUCCCCGCGCUGCCCCAGGACCCUGGACCCCUGCCCUGCAGGCUGCUUCAGUUCUGAUAGGGCGGACAGGCGAGGGGCGGCGGAGUCUCCCGGGGCCCAGCGUCUCCCUCCCCAGUCCCUUGCUUUGUCACUCCAAGGGCUCAACCAGCUUCAAACUGAACCUUCAUCUGCCCAACUUGCAGGGGUGGAAACAGAGGUUCAGAGAAGGGACACUACUGGCCCAAGGUCACACAAUCCAGUGAAGCAGGACCCAUCACGCCUGAGUCAGGAACUGCCUAACUGGAUAGAGUUGAAAAGCAGAGCGAGUCUGAAGUGGCUGUGUUAUUGCAGCAUCCGCGCUGCCAGCAGGGCCAACCCAGCAAGGCACCCGAAGCACACACAGCAGAGUCCUCUGGACUUUGAGGAAGAACCCACAGCAGGAGGAAGUCAGCAGGGAGUGGCUGUGUGAAACCUGGGACCACUUCUGCCUUCCUACGUGGCAGUGGCUCAGAGUUAUUUGAGUGCUGUCAAACUGAGCUGAUUGCUGCCCUAGUAUUAGAUCAGUCCAUAGAAAGUGGGAGCAAUGGCACUGACACUGCUAGAGGAUUGGUGCAAGGGGAUGGACAUGGACCCCAGAAAGGCCCUGCUGAUUGUAGGCAUCCCCAUGGAGUGUAGUGAGGUGGAAAUUCAGGACACUGUGAAGGCAGGCUUACAGCCCCUGUGCGCAUACAGGGUCCUAGGGAGAAUGUUCAGGAGGGAAGACAAUGCCAAGGCAGUCUUCAUUGAACUGGCUGACACUGUCAAUUACACUACUCUGCCCAGUCACAUACCAGGAAAGGGUGGCUCCUGGGAAGUGGUGGUAAAACCCCGUAACCCAGAUGAUGAGUUUCUCAGUAGACUGAACUACUUCCUGAAAGAUGAGGGCCGAAGUAUGACAGAUGUGGCCAGAGCCCUGGGAUGUUGCAGCCUCCCUGCCGAGAGCCUGGAUGCAGAGGUCAUGCCCCAAGUUAGAUCCCCACCU
rnacentral:lncRNA from 1 species